rnacentral:rRNA from 1 species
AACGAACGCUGGCGGCAUGCCUAACACAUGCGAGUCGAACGAGACCUUCGGGUCUAGUGGCGCACGGGUGCGUAACGCGUGGGAACCUGCCCUUAGGUUCGGAAUAACUCCCCGAAAGGGGUGCUAAUACCGGAUAAUGUCUUCGGACCAAAGAUUUAUCGCCUUUGGAUGGGCCCGCGUUGGAUUAGCUAGUUGGUAGGGUAAAAGCCUACCAAGGCGACGAUCCAUAGCUGGUCUGAGAGGAUGAUCAGCCACACUGGGACUGAGACACGGCCCAGACUCCUACGGGAAGCAGCAGUGGGGAAUAUUGGACAAUGGGCGAAAGCCUGAUCCAGCAAUGCCGCGUGAGUGAUGAAGGCCUUAGGGUUGUAAAGCUCUUUUACCCGGGAUGAUAAUGACAGUACCGGGAGAAUAAGCUCCGGCUAACUCCGUG